rnacentral:tRNA from 1 species
AGGGAAGUAGUUUAAUGGUAAAACAAUGGUCUUCAAAACCGUAGUUGUAGGUUCAAUUCCAUCCUUCCUUG